AGAGAUUUAUUUUUAUUAAAUUUGUUAGAUUAUUGUAUCAGUUAGUCAGCUUUCAUUUUCCUGUUUUGGAUGCUUUGUGCUGCAGAAUAUCUGGGAUACAGUAGCAGGUGGGUUGCAAAGCCUUGAAACAGAAAUAGGUUGCAUUUCAGAGUCCAACUGUGAGCCUGUGAAGCAGCGAGCGCUCUCUCAAGGUCUGUUGCCUCAGAUUUGGUUAGAAAUGAUUGUAUCUAGGUGUAGGAUGGUGGCUUGGUCUUUCAGACGGCUUGAGUUCAUAACUGGCCCUUUUACCCUAAGACUUAUCAACCACCUCCCUCCCCCGAAGAAUGACGGAGAGAAGCUCACGCAGAGGCUGAGGCCAAGGAGCACGCAGCUGCCGUCUGGACGUCUGUGCCAUCGAUGCUGACGUUGGAAGAGUCGUAGACUGUGGUAUGUUAAUAUGACGGGCCGUGUACUUUUGCUAGGCAUGCAAGGAAUGUUACCUGAAAGCAAGGAUUGGGGAUGUGCUGGUGCUUGAUGUUGAACUAGGCCAGUUGAGAAAGGGUUCUUUUCUACCAGCGUUUCUUGCUGGUUCUGAUAUUGAGAUGCCUCAACUUUAUUGUCUAGUUGAUUAAAUAUGCACGUUAAACUGGUACAUCAACUAUCACUUUUUCUUGUGUCUUUACACUGAUGGGAGCUUGUAGGUAAUCUAAGUAUUUCCGAAACAAGCCAAAUUAAACGGGGGCAUUAACCAAAAGGUGUAUUUAUAUUUCAACGUGAUGUUUUUAAUUUUAAAAAAUGUUUCCUUCAUGAUAUGUGUAUGGUGCCUGAUAAGUUUCACAUGACUUGUGCCCAGAUUCUUUAAUUGGGGUCUCAGGGAGUUGUGCAGACUGGCUGGUGGAAAGGGCAGUGCCGACCAGCCCGCGAAUGGCCUGGACGUGUUGGCACUCCCUUUGUCUCUCAGAGGCAGCGUGUGACACUCUCAGAGCGUGGAGGGUAACAGUGACGACUUUGAAAAAGAAUGGGUUAUUCUUUUGAGAAAGUCCUCUUUACUGCUGAUUUCCACAUGGAGAGGCACGUUGUCGAUAAUAAUGUGAAGCACGUAUCGCAGGCUUUGUCAGCCACGUUGUCUUACUCCUGACUCGUCCCCUUUUCAAUCCUCGCGGUAGCCUUAAAAAGGGCACAUCAUCACGCCCUUGCAGACAUGACGGUGCUGGGGAUGAGGCAGGGGGACAGCUGGCCCAGGUGACACUCAGGGUUGCAGCCGCGUUUUGACCCUGAGGUGUCUUUUUUCCAUGGUGGUACGUCCUGGACAGUCAUUUGUAACUCUUGUAAAACAUAUCUGAGAUAUGAUUUCGCUCAUUCCCAACUCUAUUACUGAGCAGCGUAACCUUGACCAGAGCACGUGGGAGAGUUCUGUCCCCGUC
rnacentral:lncRNA from 1 species